CAGCCGUAAACUAUGCUCGCUAGGUGUCAGGCAUGGCGCGACCGUGUCUGGUGCCGCAGGGAAGCCGUGAAGCGAGCCACCUGGGAAGUACGGCCGCAAGGCUGAAACUUAAAGGAAUUGGCGGGGGGAGCACAACAACGGGUGGAGCCUGCGGUUUAAUUGGACUCAACGCCGGACAACUCACCGGGAACGACAGCAAUAUGUAGGCCAGGCUGAAGACCUUGCCUGAAUCGCUGAGGGGAGGUGCAUGGCGUAGACGUCU
rnacentral:rRNA from 1 species